rnacentral:rRNA from 1 species
UUCUAUUAGAUCUGAUUAAUAGUAUAAUUCUGCUCAAUGAUCUUAAAUAGCCGCUAUUUCUGUGCUAAGGUAGCAUAAUCAUUUGUCUUUUAAUUAAAGACUAGAACAAAAGAUUGAACAUUUUAAUUAAUUUUUUAAAAUUAAAUAAUUUAAAUUAUUUUAAAUGUUAAAAAACAUUUAUUAAAUAGGAAGACGAUAAGACCCUAUUAAACUUAACUGAAGUUAAACUGGGGCAGUUAAUUAAUUAUUAUUUUCAUUAAUAUAAUAAAAUAAAUAGAUCCUAUAAAAUAGAUUAAAUGAUCAAGUUACUAUAGGGAUAACAGCGUAAUAUUAAUUUAAAGAUCUUAUUAAAAUAAAAGAUUACGACCUCGAUGUUGAAUUAAUAACCUAUAUAGUUGCAAUAAACAAUAUAAAGGAAGUCUGUUCGACUUUAAAAAAAUUACA